CCAUUUUUAAAAUCCAAUAUAAAGUUUCACCACUACUUAAAACAAUGUUGGUAUAGAAAUUUGCAUAAGGGAUGAACACACAUGCUUUGUGUUUGCUAAAAUGGAGUUUCUCCCCAACUUUGGACGUUCAUACAGGUGAAACUUUUUCUUGUUUUGCAAUGGGUUCUAGAUUUGCAUCUUGCAAAUGUAGAUUUUAAGCUAGACUAUAAGAAUAUGGUGUUCAAUUAUCACAGCAAGGGAGGGGACUAUUCCGAUUUAGGAGUUAUCCUUUAAGAUUGACGUAGAAUUCAUUGUUCACAUUUUAUUACAAACUCUAAGAUUGAGUUUACUAGAAAACAAGUGAAAGAGGUUGUCCAAACUUUAACUAAGGCGAACACAUCUCUAACUAGUUUUCCCUUACACACUAAUGUUGGACCGUUGGUGUAUUCACACAAAAAAUUACUUGUUGGACCGAUAGUAACUUGAUUUUUAUUCCACAUUUUUCUCUUGUUGGACCAAUAUUCUUUGUUAUGAGUAGUAAAAAUAAAAAAAAAUAAAAAUAUUUCGUCGACUUUUGUGGUAAAUAAGAUUUAAUUAUUAUAAUUGUCAAUGAUAAAAAAUAAUUCUUUUCUUCAAAAAAUAACUUAUUUGAUUAUUAAUUUAACAAUUUGGUGUAUCAAUACACUCAAAUUUUUGUGUGUAUCUUAUCAAGCCUGACAAAGUCGGGGAUAUAUACUAUCUCAACAAGUGAAACCAAUGGUAAAUCUAUGUUCAUUGCAUUGGGGCUUAUAUCCCGCUUAAUCAUCAGGUUGUUGUAAAUUAAGCAUUGAAUAAUUUUAAUUUAGUUCCAUUAAACAUUAAAUAACGUCCCCAUAUAAAAUUUAUUAAUAUUUUAUUAAUAAUUUUGUUUGGUCAUACACAAAGAUGUUUUUUUUUAUUUUUUAAGCAAAAUGGGUGCAGAUAGAGAACCGCUGCAGCAUCUAGAUACAUAUAUAAAAAGGAAACGAGUACAAAAGAAGAAAGGGGACCACAACCAAAACCCUCUCAAGCGGAAAAAAAAUAAAAAAAACCUAAAAGAAAACAAGAAAAUAAAAAGAACAUAAGCCAAAAGGAAACUGAAAAGAGCAAGAACAAACAAGUCAAUCCGGUAACCUACCAUUAGAGCAUGUAUUGUGAAUCUGAAAACCCUUCUUCAAAUUCUUUUCCCGGUCUUUGAAACCACUUCAGUGAAGGGCUCCUCUGUAGUAGCAGCACGAUUCCUCGGAUAAUUGAUAGCAGCCGCUCUCUCUUCCUCAUCGGUAUACACCCGAGGGCCAAUGUAUGUAGCUUCGUUUCCCUUCCAAACAUAUUGCCUCAAAAUCUCCAAGUCGUGAGCGACGCUGGGAUUUAAAUUGUCAUUAGUGACAAUUUCAUUCGAUUUUGUCGCUGAAUCACUCAAAUUUGUCACUUCAUCACUCCAUGAACCAACGAAGCGCAUAUCAGGAUAAUGCUCCCUUUGUUGUUCAUUGUUAGUUGAAUCAGACGAGUUGGAUCCAAAGGUAUCAUGAAUAGCCUUUUUACAAUGCUCUUCAGUAGAAACACUCAAAUUCUCAUUACCGUUGGCACCCAUGUCAUCUGGAUGCAAGGUAUCAAUACUCACUACUUCUCCAUCAACCGUGGCUUUCAGUUUAGUACUAUCCACAAAUCCUAAAAGAUGAUUAUUAUCAACACAUGUUUCAGUUGCAUUUGCUACACAUUCAACCGUUUCCUUUACCAAAUAUUUCUUAUGAAUAAGAAUAGAUUUAUUUCCCAAACGCUUAUGUUUCUCAUUUGUGUCCAAUUUCUCUUGAUCCAAUUUUACAAGUUUGCAAGACGAAAAAAGUGCCCAAUGUUACUACAGUGCGAACAAAAAGAUGUGUUUGAUUUUGUUGGCAUGAAGAAAAAAAUACAAUAAUUUUUAAAUAGAAAGACACAGAGAUAUAAUCGUCUUAGAUCUUAGUGUCGCGAGCUUGUUUUGCAACAAUACUAAAACGACCAACUAUCAUACAUUAAUGAUUAAACAUUGCAACACAUCAAAACCACCGUUAAUUACAAUGUAAAUUUUUGUAUGUAUGUAUGUAUUGAUAUUGUCCUUUAUAUGAGAACUAGUGUUUACACCAUUCUAUCAUCUUAUUAUCCUAAUGCAUAUAAAUUAUAAACAGUAAUUUUUAUGAAAUUUUAAAUAAAAUUAUGGCAUAUCAAGAGAGAGGAGUAGUUAUAAUGAGAGGAUGAAAGGUGGUGGAGGUUGUAGUGCAUGACCCUUUUUAAAGAGCAAUUAAAUCUGAAGCGUUGAUUUUGUUCCAAUGGUCCAAAUUAAUUCCUGUCAUCCUCUCAUUGUAACUACUCCUCUCACUUGAUAUGUCAUAUAUAUAUAUAUAUAUAUAGGGCAUUUUAAAUGAGAGGACUUUUUAAAUGAGAGGGUGAGAGGAUUAAAUCACAACCAUUAGAUGAAAUCCAGUGGCUGAUAUUUAUUUGAAGCAACUCAAAUGUUCCGUAUGCACCUUUCUUCCUUUCGCCUUCCUUUCUUCUCUCUCAGUUACGUUUUCAAUUUUUUUCUUUCUUCUUUCCAAAUUGAUUUCUCCUAUUCCAACACAAAGCCAUUUUUGCUGCAUCAACUCUAUUCCUCUUUUUAUUUUUGUCUUUCUAAAAAGUCCUUGGCUUUUGAAUCACACCACUUCUCCAAAAAUUAAAAUUGGGAUAAACUAUCAAAUUGGUGAAUCUUACCGAAAACCCAUUCAUUUUUGGUGAAUAAUUGAAGAAGAAAAAAAUGGGUCUUCAGUUGAGAAAGCAAACUAUGAAUGGGUUUCGACUUGUGGUGUAGAUUUGAUUAAAAAAAAACCAUUGUUAUUGAUAUGGAGUUGAAGAAAUAAGGGGUAAAGAUGAAGAGCCCUUUGAAAAAUUAAGUAUUUGAAAGUUGCAAUUUGAAAAUUAGAUAAUUAGUCAUAAUCAAUUUCAUUUGUCAUGGAUUCCAGAAAUUUAAAUUACAAGUGUCUUAUGAUGAUGCAUGUUAAAAAUUGGAACGGCGUGGAGAAUAUGUCAGGAAGGGAGAUGAAGAUUGAGGGAUACAGUGUGACUAAGUCUGUAGUGACUAACUAAAUGCCAACCGUUGAUAUAGAUCAGAUGGUUAUUAAUUAUUCCUCUCACUCUCUCACAAUAAAUACUCCUCUCACUUGAUAUGUUCUCUAUAUAUAAUUUAACAGUGAUAUAUAUGCAAAAAAUGAUUUAACAAGUGAUGUGAAGUAACUUGAGUGUCAGUUACUUCACGUCAUUAUUUUAAUUUGAGUCAUAUCAUAAACUUAUGGAAAAAAAAGUGAUUUAACGUAAUAUAAGAAAAGAGACGCAAGUUACUCAUAAUCAAUUCGGUUGUUUUUAUGACUGUGAGGUCGACAAUGAAAGUAGAUGGAUUAAAAAGACUUGAACUUAGUUUUCAUUGAUUUUGAUAAGGCAUAUAAUAGUGUCUGGAGAGCUUUUGUGGAAAUGCAUAGAGAAGAAAGAAGUUAGUAUUGCCUAUAUUCGAGCUGUCGAGAUUAUAUAUGAGGGAGUAUAGACUAGUGUGAGGACACUUGAUGGAGACACUAACGAUUUUCCCAUAACAAUAAAGUUCCACAAAGUUUCAACCCUAGGCCCUCAUUUUUUUACACGACUUUUGGAUAUACUUAUGAAACACAUGCAAGAGCUAGCACCGAGAUGUAUGUUUUUCUUGUAGAUGAUAUAGUUCUACUUGAAAAGUUGAGGGAGAAAUUAAAUGUGAGGUUAGAGACAAGCCAUAGAAACGAAUAAAUUUUUCCUAAGCAGAAGUAAAACUGAGUAUAUGGAAUAUAACUUUAGCAAAAGGUGAAGAAUUUCCAACUUAAAGGCGAAAGUUAGAGAUCAUAUCAUACCAUAAACUACACACGUUUAAAUAACUUGGCUCUAUAGUACAAAACGACAGAGAAAUAGAAGUAGAUGUGAACCAUCAAAUACCAACUGGAUGGGGGAAAUGGAGGAGGACCCUCAAGUGUUUAUGUGAUUAGAAAGUACCACUUAAGUUGGAGGUGAGUCCUAUUGAGCAAUUGUAAGACUGAAGAUGUUGUUGAGACGAAGCAUUAGGAUGUCAAAAACCAAGAAAAUAAAUUAAGCAUAGCAAAGAUGAUUGAGAUAUUGUGUUGGAUGUGUCGUAAGAGAAGAUGAUAUAUGAUUAGAAAUGACAACAUUAAAGAAAGAGUUGGGAUAUACCUUAUAGUAUUAAAGAUCAUGGAAACUAGACUUAGGUGGUUUAGAUGUGUAGAGAAAAAAAUGUGUAAAUUAUAUAGUAAGAAUAUUUGAUAAAAUGGAGGGCAAUCAACUCAAUAGAGACAGAAAAAGACCUAGAAAAAUGUCAUUUGAUCAUUAUAACGUCAUUUAAUCCAUGUGAUCGACCAAACUGAUUCUCAUAACUCUAAUUCUUUUGAAUUGAAAAAAUUUACUAUUUGAAUUUUCUAUCGUAAUUUCGUUUUAACACUAGAAUAAACACUUUGUUUCGUAGUAACUAAUUCAAUUAAAUAUUUAAAGGGAUUAUACUUUUACAAUGCAAUGAACCAAAUUUCAAAUUUUAGCUGGGAGAAGUACCUACAAUUAUUAUUUGUCAAAAAAAGUACCUAUGAUUAGUAAAAUUUCCUCCCAUUAAGGGAAAUUGUGGAAAAUUAAAAAGAAAGAUACAAAAUCAGAAAAUAUAAUAAGGAAUUUGUUUUCCUUCCAAAAAAAUAGAUAAGGAAUCUGUUUUAAAUAUUUUUGUACAGUCUGUCAUUUUUCUUAUUUAAUUUUACCGAAACUCUCCAUCUAUUUUUUCUUUUAAAAUUAGUCUACUAAUAAGGGUUUUGUUACAAAGAUUAUAAUUUUUUUUUGUUGUGUCCGGGGAAUCCCGGACCUUACAUAUAUUAUGCAUUGUUACCAACUGAGUCAAACUCACGAGAGCGCAAAAAUUAUAAUUUAAUGCAAUAAUAUGUUUAUAUAGCGUUGAAUCCUUUAAAAAAAAUAUUUACCAUUGCGAUAAAUUUGAGGUACUCGUAAUUCCGUUAUUCAUUCGUAAUUUCUUUUGUAGAAAGGUUAUUUAUUGGUAAAAUUGAUUUUUUUUUAUUUUUUUAUUUUUUUGGAGAGAUUUGUCACCCAUUGCAAUUUUAUUUAAUUUACAAUAUUAGUCUAGUUGCUCGCAGUUGAUAUUUAAUUUAGACAAAAAAAAUUAUUUUUUGGUAAAAAGAAAUGUUCACAUUUGUAGGUUCAAUGAACAAUCCCUAAAAAAAAGGUUCAAUGAACAACUUUUUUUCAAAUAUAAAUCCAUUUGAAAAAAAAUAGUAUUUGAAAAUAUAAAUAUAUUAAUUAAUUUUUACCAAAAAUACCCGUAAUUAAUUUUAUUAUAGUCAAACUAUUAAUUAAAGGAUAAUUAUAAAAUAUCAAUAGUCAAAAUGGUUGAAUUUAAAUGUUGUUUAAUUUUUUUUUUAAUAUUUUUUUAAAACUCGAUAUCCGACCUACGAACCGACUAAUCUUAGUGGCCGAAUCUCAUUAUCUACUUGUAGAGAUUGAUUUAAAGUCAACAAAAAACUCUAAAUAAAAUAACUCGGAGAAAUUGAUACUAAAUAAAAUUAAAUCUAAUAUCUUGAGAGAAACACAACUAAUGUUCCAAACCAACCUCACUAAACAUACUCAAGUCGGUCAAAAUAUUUCAGCGCAUUAAAUAGAAAUCUAUAAUUAAUAAGAUGUAUUUUUGAGCUUGUAAUUAAAAUCUAUAAUAAUUAAAAUCUAACAAUAACAUUCGAGCAAAUGAGUUGUACUUAAAAACAAAUUCAUCAAGAGUGAUUCAGAGGAACAUAAAGACUACUAUAAUUUUUCUUAGAGACAGAAGGGAAAAACACCUUAGAGCCGCAGGUAAUGUAACCUUUCAUUACUUCUUGGUUAUGAUAAAAAAAAUUUGUACUAAGAAAUUGUCAAGUUUUUUUGCAUGUAUCCUUUGUCCUAAUAUUGUCAAAUUUAAGAUAGUUAACAUUGAUUGAGUCCAUUAUAUACUGACACUGUAUUUUGUCCAAAAGAAUGUCAAAGGUGGAAGCAUCAGAAGCAUUAGUGGAAGCAAAAGUUCCAUUGUUGAAAAAUAAUAUUGAUGAACAUGAAAAUGAGGUUUUGGGAAGAAGGGUUUGGAAUGAGUCCAAGAAGCUCUGGCACAUAGCAGGUCCUGCAAUCUUCAACCGUGUUUCAAACUAUAGCAUGUUAGUCAUCACUCAAGUCUUUGCUGGCCACCUAGGUGACAUGGAGUUGGCUGCUACUUCCAUUGCUAUGAAUCUCAUUCUAGGCCUCGACUUGGGUAUCAUGGUAAAGUUCAUGUUUUAAUUUUGGUUUUAAUUUGCAAGAGAAAUAGAUGAAUCUCAACAUUUUCUUUUGUGUUAUGUGAUUGUUGUUAGAGAAUAGUUUGAGUAUAUGUGAUUAGAUGAGUGUUUGACAAUAUAAUUAAUUUUGAAUGAAAUUGGUGUUAAAAAACUGAUUUACUUAAAAUUGAGUUUGACAUAUUUAUAUUUGGCGUUUUGGUAUUGAGAUGUGCCUAAUAACAUACGUGGAAUUUAAAAUCAAAUACUAAACAAAUUAAUGUGAGCUUUUUAUGAUGUUAAGGAUGAGAUGUGUUAUGUCAAAAAAAAAAAAAAAGAGAGAGACUGAGAUCUGCUAGUACUCUGACAUAUUAUGUUGUUAAUUGUCAUUAUUUAAAUCUUGAUAGCAAUCGCUCUUGAUCAUUGAUUCGUCUCUGCUUGAGACCUAAAAUCAAUGGAUUUGUUUUUAUCUUAGGCUGGUCCUGUUUGUAUUUCAAAUACAUAUAUAAACAACUUUGAUGCAAAAUUUAUUAAAAAAUUAACCUUUUUUUCGUGACAUGAAAAAAAAAAAAAAAAAAAACAGAAAGAAACAACUAUCUCCUAAUAAAGGACACUCAUGCAACAUCGGUUAAUAAUGGGUGCGUUUGUUUUAAUUUAAGAAAAAUCUAGAUUUUUUUUAGAGAUUUUAAUUUUUUUUUGAAGCUAUUUGUGUUUGUUUACUUUCAAAAAAUCACUUUUCUUUUAAAAAGAAUAAUUUUAGCUAGUUCAUGUGUUACCUCCUUGUUUUUGAAAAAAUAGAUUUUGAAAAACCUAAUCCUAAUAGUAAUUCAUGUUAAUAAAGCUUAAAUCUCUGCAUCUAAAAUAUUGGAUAAGCCCACACUACCAUAAAAAUCAACUGAUGUUUACCACAAGAGUUGCACACAAGACCACCAUACUUAUAGUCAACCCAAAAUUUAAAGACAAAAUCAUCAGCCAAUGAUAACCAAAUAAAAGAUAUAGGUUGGAAGAUGUCAACCACUCGAAUAGAACUCAACUAUCUCAAUAAAUUAGCUUAUACUUUUACACGUGUAAAUAUCUUGGUUUGACAAAAAGAAAACAAUUAUUUAAUACAAAAUUUGUUGAUGUUGUUUAUUAUCAUCUUAUAGGUACGAAGUAUCAUCAGUCGUUUAGCAUUAAGAUGAUAAAGAUUUUUAAUAAGUAGAUUUUAAUAUUGUUCUUUAAUUAUAAAAAAAUAGAAUAUUAUUAAGAGAUUGUUACUUUGAUUUGAAAAUUAAUUUUGUACAUGUCAUGUCAUGUCAUCCAUUUACUUUCAUGUAUUUCUUCUAUUGGUAAUGAUUUUGAUAAUAAUAUUUUGCUUGGUAGUUGGUACUAAACAAGUAAAUAACAUUCUGUUUUUGCAUCAGUUGGGUAUGUCAAGCGCUUUGGAAACUCUAUGUGGACAAGCAUUUGGAGCCAAACAAUUCAACAUGUUAGGAAUUUACAUGCAACGUUCAUGGAUCGUUCUUUUCAUCACAGGAAUUCUCCUUUUACCUCUUUUCAUCUUUGCAACACCAAUCUUAAACUUUUUUGGACAACCACAAGAGAUAUCUGAGCUAGCUGGAGUGAUUUCAAUGUGGCUAAUACCAACUCACGUGACUUAUGCAUUCUUUUUUCCUCUUUAUUUCUUCUUGCAAAGUCAGCUCAAGAAUAACAUCAUUGGUUGGGUUUCUCUUGUUGCUUUAUUGGUUCAUGUUUUUCUUUGUUGGUUGGUUGUUGUGAAGUUUAAGCUUGGUGUUAUUGCUCUUGUUGCUUCUGGGAAUGUGGCUUGGAUUGUUUUGGUGUUUGGUUUUUUUGGGUAUGCUGUUUUGUGUGGUUGUCCCUUAACUUGGACUGGUUUUUCUAUGGAGGCUUUCUUUGAUCUUUGGGAGUUUGCUAAACUCUCUGCUGCUUCUGGGGUUAUGCUCUGGUACAUUUUAUUUUCAUAAGCAAUUUCUCACUUCUUAAUUGUCAUUGCAUUGUGUUUACGAAGAUAAAAUAAUAUCGGUGUCAUCGUUCAAAAUGCGUCUACUGACAUAUUUUUCCGAACCCUACUAUUAAAUUAAGGAUUCAUACAUUUUUUUUUUUUUUUUAUCUUAACCCUUUUAUGAUCAUAAUCAUCUAGAAUUCGAUCGGGAGAUUGGUAAAAUCUGACUAAUAACUAUUUUAGCUAGAGUUUGAAUUUGUGUACUCCCGAUCAAUUUGACCAUCGUUGAAGCUCAUUUAAUUAUUGAGCCCAACCAUUUAGUUUAAGGGUCUCAAGUAUAGUUUCAUGUUUUUGCAACUUUACAUAAUUUGAUUAAAUUAUUAUAUGGUCUCCUUUUCAAUUGUAUUUUCAUCAUGAGUUGUUGGAAAUUCUUACAGCUUGGAGGUUUGGUAUGACAAAGUACUCAUGUUGAUGACUGGAAAUCUACAUAAUGCAAAGAAAUUUGUAGAGGCUUUAACCAUAUGGUAAGCAAGUGAGAAUAUCUUAUGGUGCAUAUGAAUAUUAUUCUGGUUCUAAUUUUCUAUUGGUUUUUUGAGUAAUUUUCUAUUAUUUUUAUUGUUGCUUUGUUUGAUGUGGCAGCUUGACCCUAAAUAUAUGGGAGUUGAUGUUUCCUCUGGGAUUCCUUGCUGCAACUGGGUAAUUAUGCAUCUUAACUUUCCCCUUUUGCUACUAUUUUUGUGCAUUUACAACAACAAAAAAUUGAAGUCAUAAUAUCAUGCUUCAUAUGUCUUAAACUACUUGAAUCAAGACAAAACCAUGACCAAACCACCAAAAUAAUCGAACUCUAGUAAAAAAAUCGGUUAAGGUUCAGCCGAUUGAACUGUUUUAUUCGACUUACUUUUUAAAAUGUUGUCUAUCGUCUAUACUACUAUUUACAUUGGUUUUUCACAUGUUUGUAAAAAUCAGUUAAGGUUGAACCGAUUGAACUGUUUUAUUCGACUCAAUUUUUAAAACAUUGUCUAUCGUCUAUAUUAUUAUUUACAUUGUGCAGAGUAAGGGUAGCAAACGAGCUAGGAGCAGGAAAUGGUCAAGCAGCAAAGUUUGCUUCAGCAGUGGCAGUGGUGACAUCAAUUAUAAUAAGUGUUUUCUUCUGGCUCUUGAUUAUGAUAUUUCGUAGACAAAUUGGCUAUUUAUUUACUUCAAGUGAACUUGUCAUUGAAGAAGUAAAUAAGUUGUCACCCCUCUUAGGCUUCACCAUUCUUCUCAAUAGUGUUCAACCUGUUCUCUCAGGUACUAUAUAAUCCAACUUCUUGUACCAUCCAUUUUACAUUUAUUUGAUUUUAGCAAUGAGUGUUUGACUAAAAUAUUGCAUCUUUCAAUUAAUAUAUCAAACAGGGGUGGCUAUUGGAUCUGGGUGGCAAAAAUAUGUGGCCUACAUUGACUUGGGUUGCUACUAUCUUAUUGGGAUGCCACUUGGGUUUUUGAUGGGUUUUGUUUUUCAAUUUGGAGUUGAGGUAAGUUGUGUACAUUUCUUCUUGGAGUUUUAAUUUUUGAAAAGUACUCUUUUCAUUUAUGAAAUUGCUCGGCAUUUUCAGCCGCAGUUAGCUGUUGUUGGACACUUUUAAGAUCGGUCAAACCAACUUAAAAAGUGAUUGAACCGAUCUUAAAAAUGUUCAGCGGCAAUUAACUGCCGUUGAUGUAGUGAAUGAGCAAUUUCAUAAGAAAGAAGGGUAAUAAUGAUACUUUUCACUCAUCCUUCUAAUCUACAAGUUUUUACAUAUUUAUUUAUAGAAGUGUACUUUUAAACAACACAAAAUUUAUGUUUUGGGAUAGAGAUGUUCAUUAUGAUAAGUGCAACACUUCUAUUUGAUUUUUGUCCUGGCAUAAUGGUGAUAUUAAUUAUUACUUUUUUGUCAAAAUCAAUUGGUUAUAUUAAUUAACCAUUAGGGACUUUGGGCGGGGUUAGUUUGUGGUGGACCAGCAAUUCAAACUUUGAUAUUGGCCUGGGUUACCAUUCGUUGUGACUGGAACAAAGAGGUAACUGCAUUUUUAACACAUGUUUUAUUGAUGUCUUUGCAUUCUCAUUUAUUUAUCUUAUUACUAAUUUGAUUGUUAACAAUUUACAGGCCGAAAGAGCAAAGUUGCAUUUGAGUAAAUGGGGAGCACCAAAUCAUGCACAAAAGUGAUACUUUCUGCACAUGCAAAUAAUAUAGGUGGGAUUAUGAAAUUCGUUUUGAUUGGGAAAUCUGAUACAGGGUGCUAAGAGAUGGAGCUAAUUAUUGAAUAAGUUUCCAUGAAAAAGAACUUGGUUUUUGUUCUGAAUUGGUUCAAGUUUGACAACAUUUAAAUAGAACACACCAAUAAUUUUCUAUUAUUACCUUUCUCGAUUCAUUUUCUGCAUACAAUUAAUAACUACCUAUUAUCUAUUAUUAUAUAAUUAAUUAAUAAAUUACUGACUAUUUGAGAAGGACUAAAUCUCGAUAUAAAGGAGAAAAGGACUCAGUUUUUGUUUUGAAUUUUUCUUGGUGGUUCAAUCAAGUUUUACAACAUUUAAAUAGAAUACACCAAUACCUUCCUAAAACCACAUUUCUAAACUCUUCUCUUAACUACAGACAAAUAAUGGAACCGGCUCUUCUAAAGUGAGUUGCUCACUUUAGAGCGUAAAGUGGACAUAACCAACCGUAAAUUAAUAGUUUAAACAUUAAAGUUAGAUAUUGUAGAUAUAUUAUAAUAAAUAAUAAAUUUGCUACAAUAACAAUUCUUAAUUUUCUCACUUUGCACUAUUAUUUU
rnacentral:lncRNA from 1 species